rfam:Insolitispirillum peregrinum strain DSM 11589 genome assembly, contig: Ga0111619_111
UGUCGGCGUUCCAACCGUUGGCGUUACUGAAGAGGCAACUUUACUUCUUUGCCAAGCGUGCGGGCGGGCUCUCCGUCCCGAAAAACCACGCGCUUCCCUUUGCCGGAUGUCCG